rnacentral:rRNA from 1 species
CGGGCUGCUGCAGCAGUGAGGAAUAUUGCACAAUGGGGGGAACCCUGAUGCAGCAACGCCGCGUGGAGGAUGACGCAUUUCGGUGUGUAAACUCCUUUUAUAUGUCAAGAAAAUGACGGUAGCAUAUGAAUAAGCUCCGGCUAACUCCGUGCCAGCAGCCGCGGUAAUACGGAGGGAGCAAGCGUUACUCGGAAUCACUGGGCGUAAAGGACGCGUAGGCGGGAUAGAAAGUCAGGUGUGAAAUCCUAUGGCUCAACCAUAGAACUGCACUUGAAACUUCUAACCUAGAGUAUGGGAGGGGAAGAUGGAAUUAGUGGUGUAGGGGUAAAAUCCGUAGAUAUCACUAGGAAUACCAAAAGCGAAGGCGAUCUUCUGGAACAAUACUGACGCUAAGGCGUGAAAGCGUGGGGAGCAAACAGGAUUAGAUACCCCGGUAGUC